rnacentral:tRNA from 1 species
CGGGGUGUGGCGCAGCCUGGUAGCGCGCGCCGUUCGGGUCGGCGAGGCCCCCGGUUCAAAUCCGGGCACCCCGACCA